rnacentral:rRNA from 1 species
ACGCUGGCGGCGUGGAUUAGGCAUGCAAGUCGAACGGUAGGAUCCUUUCGGGGAUCUGAGAGUGGCGAACGGGUGAGUAACACGUAGGUGAUCUACCCUCAAGACGGGGACAACCCAGGGAAACUUGGGCUAAUACCCGGGAUGUGAGCUAUCGCGAGAUAGUUUGAAAGGUGGCUUCGGCUGCCGCUUGAGGAUGAGCCUGCGUCCUAUUAGCUAGUUGGUGAGGUAACGGCUCACCGAGGCAGUGAUAGGUAGGCGGCCUUAACGGGUGGUCGCCCACACUGGGAUUGAGAUACGGCCCAGACUCCUACGGGAGGCAGCAGUCGAGAAUAGUCUACAAUGGUCGGAAGACUGAUAGUGCGACGCCGCGUGAACGAUGAAUCCCUUCGGGGUGUAAAGUUCUUUUAUAUGUGAGCAGUGCUUCUUAUAUUAACAGUAUGGGGAGAGAGAUAUUAGCAUAUGAAUAAGCAACGGCUAACUCCGUG